GACGUAGGGGGCAAGCGUUGUUCGGAAUUAUUGGGCGUAAAGCGCUCGUAGGCGGGACAGGAAGUUCGUGUUGAAAGACCUCGGCUCAACUGAGGGACCGGCUCGAAUACUCUUGUUCUUGAGGCAAUCAGAGGGUGAUGGAAUUCCCGGUGUAGCGGUGAAAUGCGUAGAUAUCGGGAAGAACACCAACGGCGAAAGCACUCUGCUGGGCCGACACUGACACUGAGAGACGAAAGCUAGGGGAGCAAAUGGG
rnacentral:rRNA from 1 species